UUCAAUUUCGUAUUUGGGUCAUUUUAUUCGACGACCCCGACAACCACCGUCGACCUUCGGCUGAACUUUCUGGGCAAACCGUCAAUCCUUUGGGGAAACGGACAGCGCCUUUAAGCUUCUGGCCGCGAAAGGAUGAAUGAACAACCUUUCUUUGUGUCUCCGGCGACAGUUCCUCCGUCAACCCCGUGAGCCACAACUUUCUCUAGCGACUCUUCGCCGACAAGUUUCAGAAACUUGAUUUUCGU
rnacentral:lncRNA from 1 species